rnacentral:rRNA from 1 species
UACAGAGGGUGCGAGCGUUGUUCGGAAUUACUGGGCGUAAAGCGCGCGCAGGCGGUCGUUCAAGUCGCGUGUGAAAGCCCCCGGCUCAACUGGGGAGGGUCACGCGAUACUGAUCGACUCGAAGGCAGGAGAGGGAAGUGGAAUUCCCGGUGUAGUGGUGAAAUGCGUAGAUAUCGGGAGGAACACCAGUGGCGAAGGCGACUUCCUGGCCUGUUCUUGACGCUGAGGCGCGAAAGCUAGGGGAGCAAACGGG